rnacentral:rRNA from 1 species
GUUGAACGCUGGCGGCUGCUAGACAUGCAAGUCGAACGGUUAAAGCACCUUUUAGGUGUGUAUAAGGGGGUGAAGGGCUGAGUAACAGGUGGGCAACCUACCUUCUUCUUGGGAAUAGCCUCGGGAAACCGAGAAUAAUACCCGAUACUUCAAUGGGGCCGCAUGACGACUUUGAGAAAGCUUUUGCGGAGAAGGAUGGGCCCCCCGCUCUGUUAGCUUGGUUGGGGGGGGAAAAGCCCUACCAAGGCAAUUGAUGGGAAGUUGGGGUUGAGAAGACCGACCGGCCCAGAUUGGGAAUUGAAAAACGCCCCAAAUUCCAACGGGAGGCACCGUUGGGGAAUCUUGGCACAUGGGGCAAAAACCGGUUGCAACCCCCCCCCCGGGGGGGAACAAAGCCUUUCGGUUUGUAAAACGCUUUUCACCAGGAACAGGGGGGAAGGGACGGUACCUUGAAAAAAAAACCCCGGUUAUUUCCUCCCGCAACCCGGGAAAUAGGUAGGGGGCUACCCUUCCCCAAAAUUAAUGGGGGGGGGAGGGCUCGUCGCGAAAAUUAUAAAUGAAGUAAACCCCCCACUCUAAACCCGGGAUUGUUUUUGUUUCCGGGGCUUUCCUUAGGGGGGGGG